rnacentral:rRNA from 1 species
CCUACGGGUGGCUGCAGUGGGGAAUAUUGGGCAAUGGGCGCAAGCCUGACCCAGCAACGCCGCGUGAAGGAAGAAGGCUUUCGGGUUGUAAACUUCUUUUGACAGGGAAGAGGAGAAGACGGUACAUGUCGAAUAAGCCACGGCUAACUACGUGCCAGCAGCAGCGGUAAUAAGGAGGUGGCAAGCGUUGUCCGGAUUUACUGGGUGGAAAGGGCGGGUAGGCGGGUGGAAAAGUCAGAUGUGAAAUCCUGCGGCUUAACCGCAGAACUGCAUUUGAAACUGUUGAUCUUGAGUACUGGAGAGUCAGGCGGAAUUCCUCGUGUAGCGGUGAAAUGCGUAGAUAUUAGGAGGAACACCAGUGGCGAAGGCGGUCUGCUGGACCGCAACUGACGGUGAGGCGCGAAAGCGUGGGGAGCAAACAGGAUUAGAUACCCCGGUAGUC